rnacentral:rRNA from 1 species
GAUGAACGCUGGCGGCGUGCCUAAUACAUGCAAGUCGAGCGCACGGACGAGAAGCUUGCUUCUCUGAUGUUAGCGGCGGACGGGUGAGUAACACGUGGAUAACCUACCUAUGAGACUGGGAUAACUUCGGGAAACCGGAGCUAAUACCGGAUAAUAUUUUGAACCGCAUGGUUCAAGAGUGAAAGACGGUCUUGCUGUCACUUAUAGAUGGAUCCGCGCUUCAUUAGCUAGUUGGUAAGGUAACGGCUUACCAAGGCAACGAUGCAUAGCCGACCUGAGAGGGUGAUCGGCCAAAUUGGAACUGAGACACGGUCCAGACUCUUACGGGAGGAAGCAGUAGGGAAUCUUCCGCAAUGGGCGAAAGCCUGACGGAGCAACGCCGCGGGAGUGAUGAAGGUCUCCGGAUCGUAAAACUCGGUUAUAAGGGAAGAACAUAUGUGUAAGUAACUGUGCACAUCUUGACGGUACCUAAUCAGAAAGCCACGGCUAACUACGUG